UGGGGAAUUUUGGACAAUGGGCGAAAGCCUGAUCCAGCAAUGCCGCGUGUGUGAAGAAGGCCUUCGGGUUGUAAAGCACUUUUGUCCGGAAAGAAAUCCUUGGCUCUAAUACAGUCGGGGGAUGACGGUACCGGAAGAAUAAGCACCGGCUAACUACGUGCCAGCAGCCGCGGUAAUACGUAGGGUGCAAGCGUUAAUCGGAAUUACUGGGCGUAAAGCGUGCGCAGGCGGUUUGCUAAGACCGAUGUGAAAUCCCCGGGCUCAACCUGGGAACUGCAUUGGUGACUGGCAGGCUAGAGUAUGGCAGAGGGGGGUAGAAUUCCACGUGUAGCAGUGAAAUGCGUAGAGAUGUGGAGGAAUACCGAUGGCGAAGGCAGCCCCCUGGGCCAAUACUGACGCUCAUGCACGAAAGCGUGGGGAGCAAACAGGAUUAGAUACCCUGGUAGUCCNCGCCCUAAACGAUGUCAACUAGUUGUUGGGGAUUCAUUUCCUUAGUAACGUAGCUAACGCGUGAAGUUGACCGCCUGGGGAGUACGGUCGCAAGAUUAAAACUCAAAU
rnacentral:rRNA from 1 species